rnacentral:rRNA from 1 species
UACGUAGGGUGCGAGCGUUAAUCGGAAUCACUGGGCUUAAAGCGUGUGUAGGCGGAUCGUUAAGUACCUUGUGAAAUCCCACGGCUCAACCGUGGAACUGCUGGGUAUACUGGCGGUCUUGAGCCACCUAGGGGCAACUGGAACAAGCGGUGGAGCGGUGAAAUGCGUAGAUAUCGCUUGGAACGCCAACGGUGAAAACAGGUUGCUGGGGGUGUGCUGACGCUGAGACACGAAAGCCAGGGGAGCGAACGGG